CCUACGGGAGGCAGCAGUGGGGAAUAUUGCGCAAUGGGCGAAAGCCUGACGCAGCGACGUCGCGUGAGGGAUGAAGGUCUUCGGAUCGUAAACCUCUGUCAGCAGGGAAGAACGGUCACUGUGCUAAUCAGCAGUGAAUUGACGGUGCCUGCAAAGGAAGCACCGGCUAACUCCGUGCCAGCAGCCGCGGUAAUACGGAGGGUGCGAGCGGUAAUCGGAAUUACUGGGCGUAAAGCGCUCGUAGGCGGUAUGUCAAGUCAAGGGUGAAAUCCCCGCGCUCAACGUGGGAACUGCCUUUGAAACUGGCAAACUUGAGUGUGUGAGAGGAUAGUGGAAUUCCAGGUGUAGGAGUGAAAUCCGUAGAUAUCUGGAGGAACAUCAGUGGCGAAGGCGACUAUCUGGCACAUAACUGACGCUGAGGAGCGAGAGCGUGGGUAGCAAACAGGAUUAGAUACCCGAGUAGUC
rnacentral:rRNA from 1 species